UACGUAGGGGGCUAGCGUUGUCCGGAAUCAUUGGGCGUAAAGCGCGCGUAGGUGGCCCUGUAAGUCCGUUGUGAAAGUCAAAGGCUCAACCUUUGAAAGCCGAUGGAUACUGCAGGGCUAGAGUACGGAAGAGGCGAGUGGAAUUCCUGGUGUAGCGGUGGAAUGCGCAGAUAUCAGGAGGAACACCAAUAGCGAAGGCAGCUCGCUGGGACGUUACUGACACUGAGGCGCGAAAGCGUGGGGAGCGAACAGG
rnacentral:rRNA from 1 species